rnacentral:rRNA from 1 species
GGUUAGUAACGCGUGGGAAUAUGCCCAAAGGUACGGAAUAGCCUCGGGAAACUGAGAGUAAUACCGUAUGUGCCCUUCGGGGGAAAGAUUUAUCGCCUUUGGAUUAGCCCGCGUUGGAUUAGGUAGUUGGUGGGGUAAAGGCUCACCAAGGCGACGAUCCGUAACUGGUCUGAGAGGAUGAUCAGUCACACUGGAACUGAGACACGGUCCAGACUCCUACGGGAGGCAGCAGUGGGGAAUAUUGGACAAUGGGCGAAAGCCUGAUCCAGCCAUGCCGCGUGUGUGAAGAAGGUCUUCGGAUUGUAAAGCACUUUAAGUUGGGAGGAAGGGCAGUAAGCUAAUACCUUGCUGUUUUGACGUUACCGACAGAAUAAGCACCGGCUAACUUCGUGCCAGCAGCCGCGGUAAUACGAAGGGUGCAAGCGUUAAUCGGAAUUACUGGGCGUAAAGCGCGCGUAGGUGGUUCGUUAAGUUGGAUGUGAAAGCCCCGGGCUCAACCUGGGAACUGCAUCCAAAACUGGCGAGCUAGAGUAUGGCAGAGGGUGGUGGAAUUUCCUGUGUAGCGGUGAAAUGCGUAGAUAUAGGAAGGAACACCAGUGGCGAAGGCGACCACCUGGGCUAAUACUGACACUGAGGUGCGAAAGCGUGGGGAGCAAACAGGAUUAGAUACCCUGGUAGUCCACGCCGUAAACGAUGUCGACUAGCCGUUGGGAUCCUUGAGAUCUUAGUGGCGCAACUAACGCAUUAAGUCGACCCGCCUGGGGAGUACGGCCGCAAUGGUUAAAAACUCAAAUGAAUUGACGGGGGCCCCGCACAAGCGGUGGAGCA